rnacentral:rRNA from 1 species
CCUACGGGAGGCUGCAGUGGGGAAUAUUGGACAAUGGGGGGAACCCUGAUCCAGCCAUGCCGCGUGUGUGAAGAAGGCCCUCGGGUUGUAAAGCACUUUCAGUGAGGAAGAACGCCUGGUGGUUAAUACCCAUCAGGAAAGACAUCACUCACAGAAGAAGCACCGGCUAACUCCGUGCCAGCAGCCGCGGUAAUACGGAGGGUGCGAGCGUUAAUCGGAAUUACUGGGCGUAAAGCGCGCGUAGGUGGCUUGAUAAGCCGGUUGGUGAAAGCCCCGGGCUCAACCUGGGAACGGCAUCCGGAACUGUCAAGCUAGAGUGCAGGAGAGGAAGGUAGAAUUCCCGGUGUAGCGGUGAAAUGCGUAGAGAUCGGGAGGAAUACCAGUGGCGAAGGCGGCCUUCUGGACUGACACUGACACUGAGGUGCGAAAGCGUGGGUAGCAAACAGGAUUAGAUACCCGGGUAGUC